CGUCAAAAACUGUUUUUGACAAGUUUUCCUUAUCGAUUCAACCGGAUUCAACAAGCAUCAGUGUUGAAACGUUUUCCUGCGAACAAUUUGUAAUUUUAUUGCGUGCGAAAAUCCAUAGUUAGCCGCAAUCCAUACAAUGGCUCUUUCUCCGGAUGCAAAGGAACGUCUGAGCGUAGUUUUUGAGAUUGUAAAAACCACAUUCCAUUGGGGAUUUAUUCCAACCGUGUUGUAUUUAGGUUUUCGUCAAGGAUCCGAAGCUGGUAUGCCUCCGCUUUCAGUAAUGAGCUUGCUUUGGCAAUGAAUUCUGGUUAUCAUGUGCGGUUAUUGCUAAUGUAAUAACAAGGAAAUUUUUUUAGUAUUUAUGUCGGUAAUUAUCUACCAAUCUGGAUUGAAGCUGCUUGUGUAGAGAAAUAGCAGGUGUGUUCAAUACUCCUACGAACCACAAAUGGGACUAAAUAUAGUUUGAAGAUACGUCUAUAUAGAAGCCCAAAUAAUGUUCCACUACAAUCAACUAGAGCAGAGAAAAUAAAAACGCGUCGGCUGAGAAAUUUGAGUCUAAUGAUACCACGCUACACUGUCAUUCUACGCAUAAUUGGCCUAUGUAUAUAGGGUAUUAGAAUAUGGAACAAUCUUAUACCCACAGCGGAAGUGUACCACCAAAUCAUUCAUACAAACUGUUACCAAGUAUUUUGAAUCAAAAUCUCACAUGGGUUCGAUUAUUAAUUGUACCAACCUGAUAAGUAGGCUAAUGAACCAAUGGUUAAAGCCUCUAUAAUUGAAACAAAAAAGAUCUUGCAAAAACUUUUUUUGUUUCAUUGAGAUACUUGUUGAAUCCGAGAGUGUUGUUUCGCCUGUUACAUCAAAAUAACAACAGCCAGCUCAAUACUCAUUUCCGGAAGCGAAAUCGACAUUUUAUUUAUACGCCUUUGUAAUUACAAUCGAGAGUGGCCUUUGUAUCUGAAUGCUCAGAAAUUUAUAUCUAAAAAUCUAUACCUAGUAGCUCAUAGUCGGAACCUUAAUGCCAAUGUAUCAUCAGGGGUCUUAUUCUCAGUCACGUAACUUAGUGGUUUCUUUUAGUCACUAGGUGACAUGACUGUGAGAAUAGAGCCCCUAUUGCGAUAUCAAAGAUGUAUUUGUCUACAACUAGAGUACAAAGCCGGAUUGACUGCUAGUAUAUGCGGUUUUGUUAAAAGAAGUUAUUAAACUUUUACCGAAGUGAUGUCUGAGUCAGUUUUGCAUGGGGCCU